GCGGCCAUAGUUUAAUGGUAGAAUAAUUGCUUCCCAAGCAAUGGGCGGGAGUUCGAUUCUCCCUGGCCGCACAA
rnacentral:tRNA from 1 species